rnacentral:rRNA from 1 species
UACGAAUGGGGCAAGCGUUGUUCGGAAUCACUGGGCUUAAAGCGUGCGCAGGCGGAUAUGAAAGUCAGGAGUGAAAUCCCAGGGCUCAACCCUGGAAUUGCUUUUGAAACUCCAUAUCUAGAAUCCGGUAGAGGUUAGUGGAAUUCCGAGUGUAGAGGUGAAAUUCGCAGAUAUUCGGAGGAACACCAGUGGCGAAGGCGACUAACUGGACCGGUAUUGACGCUCAGGCACGAAAGCGUGGGGAGCAAACAGG